AUUGGGCGUAAGCGCGCGCAGGUGGUUUCUUAAGUCUGAUGUGAAAGCCCACGCCUCAACCGUGGAGGGUCAUUGGAAACUGGGAGACUUGAGUGCAGAAGAGGAAAGUGGAAUUCCAUGUGUAGCGGUGAAAUGCGUAGAGAUAUGGAGGAACACCAGUGGCGAAGGCGACUUUCUGGUCUGUAACUGACACUGAGGCGCGAAAGCGUGGGGAGCAAACAGGAUUAGAUACCCUGGUAGUCCACGCCGUAAACGAUGAGUGCUAAGUGUUAGAGGGUUUCCGCCCUUUAGUGCUGAAGUUAACGCAUUAAGCACUCCGCCUGGGGAGUACGGCCGCAAGGCUGAAACUCAAAGGAAUUGACGGGGGCCCGCACAAGCGGUGGAGCAUGUGGUUUAAUUCA
rnacentral:rRNA from 1 species